UUAAAUUGAAGAGUUUGAUCAUGGCUCAGAUUGAACGCUGGCGGCAGGCCUAACACAUGCAAGUCGAACGGUAACAGGAAACAGCUUGCUGUUUCGCUGACGAGUGGCGGACGGGUGAGUAAUGUCUGGGAAACUGCCUGAUGGAGGGGGAUAACUACUGGAAACGGUAGCUAAUACCGCAUAACGUCGCAAGACCAAAGAGGGGGACCUUCGGGCCUCUUGCCAUCAGAUGUGCCCAGAUGGGAUUAGCUAGUAGGUGGGGUAACGGCUCACCUAGGCGACGAUCCCUAGCUGGUCUGAGAGGAUGACCAGCCACACUGGAACUGAGACACGGUCCAGACUCCUACGGGAGGCAGCAGUGGGGAAUAUUGCACAAUGGGCGCAAGCCUGAUGCAGCCAUGCCGCGUGUAUGAAGAAGGCCUUCGGGUUGUAAAGUACUUUCAGCGGGGAGGAAGGGAGUAAAGUUAAUACCUUUGCUCAUUGACGUUACCCGCAGAAGAAGCACCGGCUAACUCCGUGCCAGCAGCCGCGGUAAUACGGAGGGUGCAAGCGUUAAUCGGAAUUACUGGGCGUAAAGCGCACGCAGGCGGUUUGUUAAGUCAGAUGUGAAAUCCCCGGGCUCAACCUGGGAACUGCAUCUGAUACUGGCAAGCUUGAGUCUCGUAGAGGGGGGUAGAAUUCCAGGUGUAGCGGUGAAAUGCGUAGAGAUCUGGAGGAAUACCGGUGGCGAAGGCGGCCCCCUGGACGAAGACUGACGCUCAGGUGCGAAAGCGUGGGGAGCAAACAGGAUUAGAUACCCUGGUAGUCCACGCCGUAAACGAUGUCGACUUGGAGGUUGUGCCCUUGAGGCGUGGCUUCCGGAGCUAACGCGUUAAGUCGACCGCCUGGGGAGUACGGCCGCAAGGUUAAAACUCAAAUGAAUUGACGGGGGCCCGCACAAGCGGUGGAGCAUGUGGUUUAAUUCGAUGCAACGCGAAGAACCUUACCUGGUCUUGACAUCCACGGAAGUUUUCAGAGAUGAGAAUGUGCCUUCGGGAACCGUGAGACAGGUGCUGCAUGGCUGUCGUCAGCUCGUGUUGUGAAAUGUUGGGUUAAGUCCCGCAACGAGCGCAACCCUUAUCCUUUGUUGCCAGCGGUCCGGCCGGGAACUCAAAGGAGACUGCCAGUGAUAAACUGGAGGAAGGUGGGGAUGACGUCAAGUCAUCAUGGCCCUUACGACCAGGGCUACACACGUGCUACAAUGGCGCAUACAAAGAGAAGCGACCUCGCGAGAGCAAGCGGACCUCAUAAAGUGCGUCGUAGUCCGGAUUGGAGUCUGCAACUCGACUCCAUGAAGUCGGAAUCGCUAGUAAUCGUGGAUCAGAAUGCCACGGUGAAUACGUUCCCGGGCCUUGUACACACCGCCCGUCACACCAUGGGAGUGGGUUGCAAAAGAAGUAGGUAGCUUAACCUUCGGGAGGGCGCUUACCACUUUGUGAUUCAUGACUGGGGUGAAGUCGUAACAAGGUAACCGUAGGGGAACCUGCGGUUGGAUCACCUCCUUA
rnacentral:rRNA from 1 species